UACGGAGGGGGCUAGCGUUGUUCGGAAUUACUGGGCGUAAAGCGCGCGUAGGCGGACCUGCAAGUCGGGGGUGAAAGCCCGAGGCUCAACCUCGGAACUGCCUUCGAUACUGCGGGUCUCGAGUCCGGGAGAGGUGAGUGGAAUUCCGUAGUGUAGAGGGUGAAAUUCGUAGAUAUUAGGAAGAACACCGAAGUGGCGAAGGGCGGCUCACGUGGCCCGGUACGUCGACGCUGAGGCGCGAAAGCGAUGGGGAGCAAACAGGGGAU
rnacentral:rRNA from 1 species